rnacentral:rRNA from 1 species
GACGAACGCUGGCGGCGUGCUUAACACAUGCAAGUCGAACGGAAAGGCCCUGCUUUUGUGGGGUGCUCGAGUGGCGAACGGGUGAGUAACACGUGAGUAACCUGCCCUUGACUUUGGGAUAACUUCAGGAAACUGGGGCUAAUACCGGAUAGGUGCUCCGGCUGCAUGGUGGGGGUUGGAAAGGUUCGGCGGUUGGGGAUGGACUCGCGGCUUAUCAGCUUGUUGGUGGGGUAGUGGCUUACCAAGGCUUUGACGGGUAGCCGGCCUGAGAGGGUGACCGGCCACACUGGGACUGAGAUACGGCCCAGACUCCUACGGGAGGCAGCAGUGGGGAAUAUUGCACAAUGGGCGGAAGCCUGAUGCAGCAACGCCGCGUGAGGGAUGACGGCCUUCGGGUUGUAAACCGCUUUCGCCUGUGACGAAGCGUGAGUGACGGUAAUGGGUAAAGAAGCACCGGCUAACUACGUG